rnacentral:lncRNA from 1 species
AUUGAGCACCUACUUACGAGCCAUUGUUCUAAGUGUCAGGGGAACACGCUAUUGUGACCUCUUAAAAUAUCACAAGCUGGUUAUUUUCUACCUUGUAAAAAUUAAGAAACUAGGGCCCAGAGAGAAUAUACAGCUUGUCAAGGUCACACAGCCAGUCCGCGGCAAAGCUGGGUGGAGAGCCAGUGUGUUCUCACUCCAUGUUUCGUGCAUUUUACCCAGUAUCUUGCUGCCUGGCCUUGUCAUAAUGGGCCAUCAUUGUAAAUGCAGGACAUCUUCUCCAAGACUACAAUUCAUGAGCAUUUCCAGUUCCUCUGCCAAAAGAGUUAAUGUUCAUGAUAGGAAAAUUGAAAGGGGAUUCUGACUCUUUUUUUUUUUUUUUUUUUUUUUUGACUCUGACUCUUUGGAACCUGGUAUAAAAGUUCAUUCCUUUUCUUUCCAAACUGCUCAACUUCAGAAUUUGAUUUCAGAAGGCUUUUAGCUCUGAGGCAUGCCAACUCAGGCUUCCACUAAUCAUCCUGGAAGGCCAGCCUCGGAUUGGGAGUUACAUUGGGUCCUGGUUGGAAUAUCCUCAAAGGGGUGAGGAAGAACCCUGAAUCUGCAGUCAUGCCCUGAGUUUCUAAUCUGCUUGUUCACCAUCUGGACAACUCUCUGUGUUUUCAGAUCCCGUAUGUUUCAACUUCAGCAUUGUGAGAAACAAGUGAGGUAACCUAUAGCAGGGCGACUCGAAAGUCUGGAAGAGUCUUCCAUCUAGAAUGAUCACCCUCCUUGCUUGCACCCAAGAGGGAUUGAAAACCAGGAACAGCAUGACACAACGCUUCGGCCCAACAUCACGCCACUUCUAAUCAAAUCUCAUUUAAUUAGGAGGCUCCGAGGAUGGUCAUGAGCUCACACACUGCCUGUCACAGCCCUGUGCUUCUCGGUGAGGGAGACAAGUGGAGCUCAGAAAGACUGCAUCUUGCUUACAGCAGCAUCUGGCUCCUGCAAAGAAAGGUGGUGAGAAGAAGGGUUGUUCUGCCAUCAACAAGUUGUGACCAAAGAAUACACCAUCAAUAUUCACAAGCCCAUCCAUGGAGUGGGUUUCAAGAAGCCUGCCCCAUGAGGCACUCAAAGAGAUCUGGAUAUUUGCCAUGAGGAGAUGGGAACUCCAGAUGUACCCAUUGACACCAGGCUCAACAAAGCUGUUUGGGCCAAAGGAAUAAGGAAUGUGCUAUACCAUAUCCAUGUGUGGUUGUCUAGAAAAUGUAACAAGGAUAAGGAUUUACCAAAGAAACUCUAUACAUUGGUUACCUAUGUACCUGUCACCAUUUUCAAAACUCUACAGACAGUUAAUGUGGAUGAGAACUAAUCACUGAUUGAGAACUAAUAACUUGAUUGUCAAAUAAAGAUAUAAAACUGCAAAAAAAAAAUUAAGUUUCUGUCACCUUAAAGUAGACUGUUACAAUGAUAAGGUGUUCUGUAAGCCUCAUAGUAACCAGAAAGCAAAAACCUGUAAUAGAUACAUAAAGGUAAGGAGAAGGGAAUCAAAGCCUAGCACUAUGGAAAAUCAUCAAUUCACAAAGACAGCAAGAAAGAAAGGUUCAAAGCAACCACAAAAGAGCCAGAAAACAACCAACAAGA